UUAGAAGUUGUACAAGUAAGAUGGUUUGAAUUAUAUAUUGAUUGAAGUUUGUUUUAAAGGAGCAAUUCAUUGCCGUUUUAACAUUGAUAAGCUGAUCCCACCAUUAGAGCUGUUAUAAGUUCGAUUAUCCCUCUAAACUUGUAGAUCUGAUCAGAUCUGGUCAUCAAAAGAAAUCAAAACUUUCACAAUUACGGCGAAUUCUUUAAUUAAAUAUGCCUAGUUAAUCUGGAUUUCUGCUAUGCCAUGUUAAAUCCAUCAGAGAUUACUUCGAGUAAUGACGACUUUCUUUCUCCUUUUAUAUGUUUUGUAUCAUAUGGCAUGCUAAGAUGGUUUGUAAUAAUUAAUGGUUAUUUUCUGCUGUGCUUGUAGGAUGGCUCACCGCGAUAAAGGUCUUCUUAAUUCUACUCUUAUCCAAGACACGUUCGAGGGUCGAAGCCAGUUGAAAACACAGGAAAGCAAAUGUUACUUCCUCAAAGAUCUUGAGAUUAGAACGAGAGAAAAAAAAAAAAAAAAAAGAGCGUAAGGGCAUAAAACCAGAGCAACUGCUAACCUCUGUGCUACGAUAGUGUGUGAAUGGGGUACCAAAUAGCUUCGAUCUUGAUUUUUACCAGGGUCUCUUCCAUUCAUCUUGUCCACAAGGACCACAACUUCGUCGAUGUUGGUAUGAGAGGUAAUAAGCGUGUGGGAGUGUGUGUGUAUAUAAUAUGUUCUCUUUUCUUUUAAGUAUGAAGAGAAGUGGAAAAAGACAUGUUGAGCAUUGUUACCGGAUUCCAGAUAAAGAACAAGUUGCACUUCAAACAAUUAAUAAUGAUUGAUUGAUUGCAAUGUAAUAUUUUACCUGCAUUUUGAAAACAUUCAAAAUAUGAGCAUCAACCAUCUUUAAUACAGCCAUAAUUUUUUUUUGGCUUGAUCACAAAUUUGUUCAUUAAUAUUUGCAUAUUUUGUUAAAAUAACCUUAAUUGUAUUUUUG
rnacentral:lncRNA from 1 species